rnacentral:rRNA from 1 species
AUGGCGCCGUCCCCGUCCCCGCCGCCGGCGGCGAGCGGAGCGCAGUACGCGCACCAGUUCCUCAACACCGCCCUCUCCCAGCGCGGGCCGUCGGCGCUCCCCUACGCGGAGGACGUCAAGUGGCUCAUCCGCAACCACCUCGUGGCCCUCGCCGACGCCUUCCCCUCGCUCCACCCCAAGGCGGCCCUCUUCACCCACAACGACGGCCGCGCCGCGCACCUGCUCCAGGCCGACGGCACCGUCCCCAUCCACCACGCCGGGGCCACCUACAACCUGCCCGCCGUCAUCUGGCUGCCCGAGACCUACCCGCGCUCCCCGCCCCUCGUCUUCCUCUCCCCCACCCGCGACAUGCUCAUCAAGCCCCACCACCCGCUCGUCGACCGCUCCGGCCUCGUCGCCAACGCGCCCUACCUCCGCUCCUGGGUCUUCCCCUCCUCCAACCUCCUCGACCUCGUCAGAUCCCUCUCCCACCUCUUCGGCCUCGACCCGCCGCUCUUCACCAGAUCCGUCGCAGCCCCGUCUCCCACUCCUCCUCCCGCUCAUCCUCCUCCUCCUCCCGCCGCCGCCUCCCCCGCCAUGCGCCCCGAGGCCGUCUAUGCUCCUGCCCCUCGCCCAUACAGGUUCCCGGCAUCGCCCCAGCUCGCCGCGCGCCAGCCGCCCACAGAGGACCCAGCCGAGGUCUUCAAGCGCAACGCCAUCUCCAAGCUCGUCGACACUGCCUAUGCUGAUGCUGCUGCCCUGCGCACCGCCCAUGAGGCUGAGGUCGACUCCCUCUUCGCCGUGCAGGCCGAGCUGCGUGGCCGGGGGGAGGCGGUGAACGACGGGGUGCGCAGGAUCACGGAGGAGAAGGAGACGCUCGAGCGCCGGCUUCAGGACGUGGUGAUGGCCACUGACGUCAUUGAGGCUUGGGUUGCCGAGAACCGCAAGGGGGCUGCUGAUGACACCGCCGAGGCGGAGGGGGCUAUCCAGCCGGCCGAUGUGCUGUCCAGGCAGAUGCUUGAGUGCACAGCUACUGAUUUGGCGCUCGAGGACACCAUCUAUGCGCUUGACAAGGCUGUGCAGGAAGGAUCGGUGCCGUUCGACGGCUACCUCAGGAGCGUGCGCGCACUUGCACGGGAGCAGUUCUUCCAGCGUGUCCUCUGCACCAAGGUUAACAAUGCGCAGCAGCAGGCACAGGUUGCUAGGAUGGCAGCACGGGCACCACAGUACGCCUCCUAG